AGUAGUAGUAGUAGUAGUAGUAGUAGUAGUAGUAGUAGUAGUAGUAGUAGUAGUAGUAGUAGUAGUAGUAGUAGUAGUAGUAGUAGUAGUAGUAGUAGUAGUAGUAGUAGUAGUAGUAGUAGUAGUAGUAGUAGUAGUAGUAGUAGUAGUAGUAGUAGUAGUAGUAGUAGUUGCAGUAGUAGUAGUAGCCCAAAAGCCACCAACAUCUCCAAUAUGGACUAUGAAGCCACAGUGGUGGAGAGUGACAUUAGGGUGGGUCGGGAGUGACUGGAGUAAGGAAGGAAAGGGGGAUCUAGACGUAAUAGAUGAUGGGUGAUUUAGUGUCAGGUAGUAUUAGUGAUAUGGUUGGAUGCCACAGUCAUUAGCGAACAGAGCUGGGGCUAAUGACCUCCAAGCUAUGGAGCCCUCCAUGAUUGUGUCGGGAAAAUAAACAUGGGUGGAGGUAUCAUUUAUGUUGUAUGUAGAAAAAAAAGUAGUAGUAGUAGUAGUAGUAGUAGUAGUAGUAGUAGUAGUAGUAGUAGUAGUAGUAGUUGCAGUAGUAGUAGUAGUAGUAGUAGUAGUAGUAGUAGUAGUAGUAGUAGUAGUAGUAGUAGUAGUAGUAGUAGUAGUAGUAGUAGUAGUAGUAGUAGUUGCAGUAGUGUCAAGACGUCACUACCGAGCCGGCACUGCUUCCCCUGGACGGCGAACACCUUCGGUACAGGACAGCCAAUACCUCACAGGAGGCACGGGUUGAUGUAAGUGCCCGCGGAUUCUGGGUGCGCGGACAGCGGGCGUUCAUGGACAUCCGCAUAUUCGACCCGAUGGCUGCCUGUCACCGUGAGCUGCCCCUGCAAGCCGCCCACCACAGGAACGAGCAGGAGAAGACAAGGGCAUACGGUGAAAGAAUCCAACAUAUGGAUCAGGGCAGCUUCACCCCCCUCGUCUUCACCACAUCCGGCGGGAUGGGUCCCAGGGCCCAAUGCUUCUACGCACGCCUCGCGGAAUUAAUCUCAGAAAAGAAGCAUCAGCCAAGGAGUCACGUUGUCGCCUGGAUGAGGUGUCGCCUCUCGUUCUCCCUGCUCAGGUCGGCCAUCCUAUGUCUCAGGGGCACCAGACACUCUGGCCCAAAAGCCACCAACAUCUCCAAUAUGGACUAUGAAGCCACAGUGGUGGAGAGUGACAUUAGGGUGGGUCGGGAGUGACUUGAGUAGGGAAGGAAAGGGGGAUCUAGACUUAAUAGAUGAUAGGUGAUUUAGUGUCAGGUAGUAUUAGCGAUAUGGUUGGAUGCCACAGUCAUUAGCGAACAGAGUUGGGGCUAAUGACCUCCAAACUAUGGAGCCCUCCAUGAUUAUGUGUCGGGAAAAUAAACAUGGGUGGAGGUAUCAUUUAUGUAGUAAAAAAAAAAAAGUUGCAGUAGUAGUAGUAGUAGUAGUAGUAGUAGUAGUAGUAGUAGUAGUAGUAGUAGUAGUAGUAGUAGUAGUAGUAACAUCUUCAUACCGGCGAUAGCAAAUGGGAGAUGUCCCAGCGACCAGGAGAGAAGGUUGCUGGAGUUGCCGCCAAGAAUGGGUGGGCUCGGCAUCACCAACCCGCAAAAUCUGGCUGAGUCUGAAUUCGGGAACUUAAUCCGAAUCACAGCCUCCUUGACCGGAUAUAUUACCAAUCAAAAUGAAAGGGGAGAAGACAACCCUCAAGAUAUUAGGUCACUAAGGAAUGAAAUCUCCAUAAACAGAGAAGAAAAACAGAGAGACACUCUGAGUGACCUAAUGAGAGAACUCCCAGAAGACACAAGGAAGAGGACAGAUAUUGCACAGGAAGUGGGCGCUUCAAACUGGCUAACCACACUACCUAUCAGGGCAAAAGGCUUCAACUUAAACAAAAAAGAAUCCACUGAUGCCCUUGCCCUCAGGUAUGGCUGGCCAGUGGAUGGGCUCCCAAACAUGUGUAACUGUGGCUCACCCUUCAACCAAAAUCAUGCCAUGACAUGCAAGAGAGGAGGUUUCGUCUGCAUGAGACAUGAUGAAGUAAGAGACGUAACAGCUAAAAUGCUGAAAGAAGUCUGCCACGACGUGACUGUGGAACCCAUGCUGCUCCCUCUGCAAGGCGAACACCUCGCCAGACGCACCGCUAAUGUUUCGAACGAAGCACGAGUGGAUGUUAGCGCCAGAGGGUUUUGGACUCGUGGACAAAGGGCAUAUUUUGACAUAAGGAUCUUUGAUCCCAUGGCCCAUUGCCACAGAGACCUGACCCUUGAUGCAGCCCACAGAAGAAACGAACAAGAGAAGAACAGAGCAUAUGAAGAAAGAAUACAGAAUGUGGACCAGGGUUCCUUCACCCCGGUAGUAUUCACGACGUCAGGAGGGAUGGGACCAAGGGCGCAGAGCUUCUACGCAAGACUCGCCGAAACACUGGCGGAUAAGAAACAGCAGCCAAGAAGCAGUGUGGUCGCCUGGAUGAGAUGCAGGCUGUCCUUCUCCCUCCUGAGGUCAGCCUUGGUCUGCCUGAGAGGAACCAGGUCACCUGUACCCAAAACCACCCGCAUUGCCGACCUGGACUUUGAGGCGACGGUGGUUGAUAGUCGUAUCAACCACAAGCUCUGUUAGCUUAAAAAUAAUAUGUUUAGUAAGGUUUGUAAUAUUAAAUAAAGAUGGUUGUCGGCCACAGUCAUUGGCGGGGUGGGGCCAAUGAAUUGCUUUGUGAAAGGAUAUGAGAGAAUAUACCGCUCUAACUCUCUAACUCUAACUCUAACUCUAAUAGAUGGAGGCCUGUUUAAAGUUUUAAAAAAAGUAGUAGUAGUGGUAGUAGUAGUAGUAGUAGUAGUAGUAGUUGCAGUAGUAGUAGUAGUAGUUGCAAUAGUAGUAGUAGUAGUGGUUGCAGUAGUAGUUGUAGUAAAAGUAGUAGUAUUAAUAGCAGUAGUAGUAGUAGUAGUAGUAGUAGUAGUAGUAGUAGUAGUAGUAAUAGUAGUAGUAAUAGUAAUAGUAGUAGUAGUAGUAAUAAUAGUAGUAGUAAAAGUAAUAGUAGUAGUAGCAGCAGUAGCAGCAGCAUCAGUAUUAGUGUUAUAUCAGUCUGAGAAUGUCCUCGCCACACCCGCAGAUGUGAGGAUGCGGUUCCAAGGCGCCCUGUCCGCCAGCGAAAGCGUGUUGGUCGAGAACAGCCUGUACGAGACCUUGGACAACACCCGCAGGACCGAGGUGGUCGAGAACAGCCUGUACGAGACCUUGGACAACACCCGCAGGACCGAGGUGGUCGAGAACAGCCUGUACGAGACCUUGGACAACACCCGCAGGACCGAGGUGGUCGAGAACAGCCUGUACGAGACCUUGGACAACACCCGCAGGACCGAGGUGGUCGAGAACAGCCUGUACGAGACCUUGGACAACACCCGCAGGACCGAGGUGGUCGAGAACAGCCUGUACGAGACCUUGGACAACACCCGCAGGACCGAGGUGGUCGAGAACAGCCUGUACGAGACCUUGGACAACACCCGCAGGACCGAGGUGGUCGAGAACAGCCUGUACGAGACCUUGG